GUUCUACUGCGGUGCUCGAUAGCGUGUCGGGAACCCCUUGAGCCAAUUUUGUCACCCCGGGAGCGGGGCUUGCGCUUGUGUGCAAGUCCGCCACGUAGCGGAAAGCCUGAUGGCGUGGAGUGUCGCACCCACUUGAGACCUCGUCUCAAGGUCAAUGACAUGCGUCGGCACAGGCGGUGAACCG
rfam:Oceanococcus atlanticus strain 22II-S10r2 contig2, whole genome shotgun sequence.